ensembl:lncRNA
GGGACCUCAUGCCAUCACACGCAAGUUGUGAACACAGAACCUUAUACUCUCGCAAGAUAUAAUGCCCAGUUCUGGAGGAUGAGUCACAUCUGGAAACAAGGCCAGAUUCUUGCAGAGAGGGUGGGAGAGGGGGGAGGUGGAGACGUGGAGGGAGAGAGAAGGAGAGGUGGAGAGAGAGAGAGGAGAGAGAACAGAAAAAGGCAGACUCAUUGUUUUAUGUUUUAUGGGGUUUUCACUUAACCGAAUGGGGUUAACAGUUAUUGAAAUGAGGCGAAUUGGCUGGCACAUUUCUCAGCGGCUACAUAUGCUAUAGGGGACCAGAGUGGAAAGGAAACUCCCCAAAGAAGGCGUUGAUGGUGCCGGUAGACAACAUGAAAUAUGCCUCUUCUGAGAAAAGACACUCACAUUCCCACCACAAAUAUUAUGACAGCAAUGACCUGGACAUUCUCUGGUCCCGGUAUUGAAAAACCCAUCCUGCAGUUCUCUACACAUCUUCCCUGUUUUUUCUGGGAAACAUAUCAUAUUACGGUAGUAAAUAGUUGUUGUUGAGGACAUCUGGAG